rnacentral:rRNA from 1 species
CGGCCCAGACUCCUACGGGAGGCAGCAGUGGGGAAUAUUGCACAAUGGGCGCAAGCCUGAUGCAGCGACGCCGCGUGAGGGAUGACGGCCUUCGGGUUGUAAACCUCUUUCGCUCAUGGUCAAGCCGCAGCUUUGGGUUGUGGUGAGGGUAGUGGGUAAAGAAGCGCCGGCUAACUACGUGCCAGCAGCCGCGGUAAUACGUAGGGCGCGAGCGUUGUCCGGAAUUAUUGGGCGUAAAGGGCUUGUAGGCGGUUGGUCGCGUCUGCCGUGAAAUCCUCUGGCUUAACUGGGGGCGUGCGGUGGGUACGGGCUGACUUGAGUGCGGUAGGGGAGACUGGAACUCCUGGUGUAGCGGUGGAAUGCGCAGAUAUCAGGAAGAACACCGGUGGCGAAGGCGGGUCUCUGGGCCGUUACUGACGCUGAGGAGCGAAAGCGUGGGGAGCGAACAGGAUUAGAUACCCUGGUAGUCCACGCCGUAAACGUUGGGCACUAGGUGUGAGGCUCCUUUCCGGGGGUUUUGCGCCGUAGCUAACGCAUUAAGUGCCCCGCCUGGGGAGUACGGCCGCAAGGCUAAAACUCAAAGGAAUUGACGGGGGCCCGCACAAGCGGCGGAGCAUGCGGAUUAAUUCGAUGCAACGCGAAGAACCUUACCAAGGCUUGACAUAUACUGGACCGCAUCAGAGAUGGUGUUUCCCUUCGGGGCUGGUAUACAGGUGGUGCAUGGUUGUCGUCAGCUCGUGUCGUGAGAUGUUGGGUUAAGUCCCGCAACGAGCGCAACCCUUGUCCCGUGUUGCCAGCACGUUGUGGUGGGGACUCGCGGGAGACUGCCGGGGUCAACUCGGAGGAAGGUGGGGAUGACGUCAAAUCAUCAUGCCCCUUAUGUCUUGGGCUUCACGCAUGCUACAAUGGCCGGUACAGAGGGUUGCGAUACUGUGAGGUGGAGCUAAUCCCUUAAAGCCGGUCUCAGUUCGGAUUGGGGUCUGCAACUCGACCCCAUGAAGGUGGAGUCGCUAGUAAUCGCAGAUCAGCAACGCUGCGGUGAAUACGUUCUCGGGCCUUGUACACACCGCCCGUCACGUCACGAAAGUUGGUAACACCCGAAGCCCAUGGCCUAACCGCGUUUGUGGGGGGAGUGGUCGAAGGUGGGAUUGGCGAUUGGGACGAAGUCGUAACAAGGUAGCCGUACCGGAAGGUGCGGCUG